GGGACACGUGGUAUCCUGUCUGAAUAUGGGGGGACCAUCCUCCAAGGCUAAAUACUCCUGACUGACCGAUAGUGAACCAGUACCGUGAGGGAAAGGCGAAAAGAACCCCGGCGAGGGGAGUGAAAAAGAACCUGAAACCGUGUACGUACAAGCAGUGGGAGCACCUUCGGGUGUGACUGCGUACCUUUUGUAUAAUGGGUCAGCGACUUAUAUUCUGUAGCAAGGUUAACCGUAUAGGGGAGCCGCAGGGAAACCGAGUCUUAACUGGGCGUUAAGUUGCAGGGUAUAGACCCGAAACCCGGUGAUCUAGCCAUGGGCAGGUUGAAGGUUGGGUAACACUAACUGGAGGACCGAACCGACUAAUGUUGAAAAAUUAGCGGAUGACUUGUGGCUGGGGGUGAAAGGCCAAUCAAACCGGGAGAUAGCUGGUUCUCCCCGAAAGCUAUUUAGGUAGCGCCUCGUGAAUUCAUCUUCGGGGGUAGAGCACUGUUUCGGCUAGGGGGUCAUCCCGACUUACCAACCCGAUGCAAACUACGAAUACCGAAGAAUGUUAUCACGGGAGACACACGGCGGGUGCUAACGUCCGUCGUGAAGAGGGAAACAACCCAGACCGCCAGCUAAGGUCCCAAAGUCAUGGUUAAGUGGGAAACGAUGUGGGAAGGCACAGACAGCCAGGAUGUUGGCUUAGAAGCAGCCAUCAUUUAAAGAAAGCGUAAUAGCUCACUGGUCGAGUCGGCCUGCGCGGAAGAUGUAACGGGGCUAAACCAUGCACCGAAGCUGCGGCAGCGACACUAUGUGUUGUUGGGUAGGGGAGCGUUCUGUAAGCCUGCGAAGGUGUGCUGUGAGGC
rnacentral:rRNA from 3 species